CCUUGCUCAUCACAUUGAGCCGCCGCUGAGCCUCCAUGCGCGAGAUGCCGCGACGAGCCGCGGCGGCCACCGCUGGACGUCCUAUAGGCCACCCUACGCGAGUACGUGAAACAUAAACAUUUGAGAGAUGCUUCCAGUCCAGCUUCCAUGGUUCUGAACUCAAGAAGCAAAGAGAGAGAGAGAGAGGAAGAACGAAGCUUGCAAGCUCGGCUUGCUAACAUAUGCUACCGUGGCUACCAC
rnacentral:lncRNA from 1 species